CCGCGCGAGCCGCGAUGAUCUCGAAAAAUUGAUUCUCGCGUGGUCGACCACCGAACAAAGCCGCCGCCUUGCCGUCACCUCGUCCUCGUCGACGAGAAUUCAAUUUGCCCCGUCGCGGUUGGUGGAAAGUCUGCGCUGCUAAAGCUAGAAGGGACACAUUUGCGCGGAAAUUCGGUCGGGCCUUAGCGAAUCGUCGAGUUCGUUCGCCACCGGCCGCACAGUGCAGUAAAACACGGCCUAGCGGGACGAAAAUUGUCUAAAAUCCAAAUAUUCUCGUAUAACGACGUGACAGAUCUUCUCAAGAUUAUUAUAUACCUCUGAAAACGUAGGAAGUAGGGGAGAAUAUCAAGGUUAUGUCAAUUUUAACAUAUGCAAGUUAACGUAACUCAGAAACGCAAUUCCUGUUUUGCAAGUGAAAAUUAUUUAAAAAUUAUCAUUCAACGAACGAACGAAAUAUUUACUUGCCCGUGGUUAAAAAUGGCUAUCCUUUUAAAUACGUUUAGCGAGAAUUUCAAACGCAAUAUCUCUAAAUGGUCCAACAGCUAUAACACAGCAUGUCACCGAGUUUCUCGAUCCGGACCACUGUGCGCCAUUGGCGGCAGCAAGAGAGGCUCGAACUCGCGGAACAAGAGGAUCCGAGAGGCGGUCCUCCCUGCGCGAGACAGCGCGACGGUUGCUUGGAUCCGCUGGAGCGCGGUUAAAGAAGAAAACGACUUGUGUGCGGGGCGCGACCGGCGACGAAACUUUCCGCCGCACCGACCGGGUCCCGUUAACGCGAUCCACGAGGUAGUUUCGAGGAUCGUCGGAGCGACAGACACUUUGCAUCGGACAAUGGAAAGAGAAAAUGGGAUUUCGCCGGAUGGAUCGGGUAAAACCAAUCGUGCCAGAUACACCCCGGAGAGAAUCUGUCGCUCUUCACGGCCGAAUAGGUCGCAAAUUAUUUGCUCUCGUACCGAUCGUAAACAUUUUCACAAGCACGAUGGAGCUCGGCUCGAUUCUUAUUCGCGGUGCGCAAUAAGAUAGCCGUGGCAAUGUCUGUUUUACGGCUGGAUAUGCUGGGUCGUAGGGAUCGAAUCCGAAAAGUGAACGGUUUCGAACGAAACGGAUAUUUACUCUCGAUCGAGGUAAACGUUUUUCCUUGGAUGAACGUCGACCAAAACUUGGCUGUGGAUUCUGAGCCGUUUCUGUUUACUUGAACGUGUGGCUAACCUCAAAUAUGGCACGUGGCUUGUUUCUAUUAUAACGCGUUCUAACAACGAUUGAGAGGCAAUACAAAAAAAGCUCUCAACGGUAAAGACAAAUGUAAUAUCCAAUAUGUAAUAUUGGGAUUAUUGUAAUAUGCGAAUUAGUCGCAGCAUUUAUUCGACGCAUGACAGAAUCUACGAACAAGUUGUCAAUAAUAUGGACUUCGGAUACGUGACAAAGUGAAUCAUAAGUUCCUCGUAGAAAAAACUUUCUUUUCUCCAGAGAGGAAAUGGUUUUACUUCUCUCAUGCGAUAUGUUUCUUUAACCCUUAUAUCAAUCUCUGCAUUUCUUUCUCAAUUCGUUUUAAAAACUAUUUUGGAUGUCCCUGUCGACAAAUUACAAAAUUGUUGGAGGUAUCUUCCACAUAACCUCGUUAUCAAUUAAUUGAUAUCGGAAGCGUAAACAUAUACGCUGAGGCUAUGAAAGCCCAACAACAACAAUGUUACCGAACAUCGUUUAAAACAAUUGAUACAAGUAUUUUACAUGAAGUUUAAACACUAAAAGCCUACAAUAGUGGUCAAAAUGUCUGAUAGCAUAUUUUUUUUAUUUAAAAAUUGCUGAAGUUACGAAGACUCUUUCACAAAAAUGAUGCAAUGGAUUUGCUUACUUAAGCAUAAAUUAUUAUAAAAAAUGAUUAAAAGUCUAAAUAAAUUAAGCUUCACCAUUA